CUGUCCGCUCCAUGGCCGAAGCAUCGCCGCCGAUCCCCCUCGGCCACUUCUUGGCCAUGGCCCUUCCCCUCCCUUUCUUCGGCGUCCCCUACUCCCUCUGGAUCCUGCGAAGUCUCUGCCGCCCUCCAGUUCCGCCGGGGAAGCCCUGUCGUUGCGACCCUGACCCUGCCUUGCUCCGGCCAUGGCGCCCGAGUCGUGGCGUCGGCACUGUGGGCCGUCCCACGCGACCCCGCGGCCACCAGCAGGCACGGCGUGGAGUGGCGGAGCCCCUCCGCUUGUCAUCCGGCCCCGGGGAGCAGCGAGGCGACGGCCAGGUCGGCGGCCGGCCCGCCCCUGUUCUCCGCAUCGCGCUGGAGAAGAAGGCCAGGCGGGAGGAGAGGGAAGAUGUCGUGGGCCCCGCCUGUCAUUGUCACAGCGCUGACGUGGCGGACCUGCUGACUAGAUUAAGUGGAAGCGCAUUUCAUGUAACCCCGCCCGCCGAAGUGCUUAUUUUGUGAACGUUCACUGCUUGAGUGCAUUUUCUGCCUAAAAAGUGAACGGCCACAACUUUUCAACCGUAACUCCGAUUGAGUGAAAAUGACCAUUUUGCCCUUGCACGUAAACAGCCCCUCCGAGAGAGAACUGUUUCCGGCAAAUCUUUCCGCGAUCAUUUCGCACUUUUUCUCG